rnacentral:rRNA from 1 species
UACGUAGGUCCCGAGCGUUGUCCUGAUUUAUUGGGCGUAAAGCGAGCGCAGGUGGUUUAUUAAGUCUGGUGUAAAAGGCAGUGGCUCAACCAUUGUAUGCAUUGGAAACUGGUAGACUUGAGUGCAGGAGAGGAGAGUGGAAUUCCAUGUGUAGCGGUGAAAUGCGUAGAUAUAUGGAGGAACACCGGUGGCGAAAGCGGCUCUCUGGCCUGUAACUGACACUGAGGCUCGAAAGCGUGGGGAGCAAACAGG